AUGAACGCUGGCGGCGUGCCUAAUACCUGCACGUCGAGCGAACAGACGAGGAGCUUGCUCCUCUGACGUUAGCGGAGGAGGGGUGAGUAACACGUGGAUAACCUACCUAUAAGACUGGGAUAACUUCGGGAAACCGGAGUUAAUACCGGCUACUAUAUUGAACCGCAUGGUUCAAUAGUGAAAGACGGUUUUGCUGUCACUUAUAGAUGGAUCCGCGCCGCAUUAGCUAGUUGGUAAGGUAACGGCCUACCAAGGCAACGAUGCGUAGCCGACCUGAGAGGGUGAUCGGCCACACUGGAACUGAGACACGGUCCAGACUCCUACGGGAGGCAGCAGUAGGGAAUCUUCCGCAAUGGGCGAAAGCUUGACGGAGCAACGCCGCGUGAGUGAUGAAGGUCUUCGGAUCGUAAAACUCUGUUAUUAGGGAAGAACAAAUGUGUAAGUAACUAUGCACGUCUUGACGGUACCUAAUCAGAAAGCCACGGCUAACUACGUG
rnacentral:rRNA from 1 species